rnacentral:rRNA from 1 species
GACGAACGCUGGCGGCGUGCCUAAUACAUGCAAGUCGAACGCAGUGGGGACGGGUGAGUAACACGUGGGUAACCUCCCAUCAGAGGGGAUAACACUUGGAAACUGGUGCUAAACCGAUACGGAUGUAUGGACCCGCGGUGAAUUAGCUAGUGGGUGGGGUAACGGCUCACCAAGGCCACGAUGCCUAGCCGACCUGAGAGGGUGAUCGGCCACACUGGGACUGAGACACGGCCCAGACUCCUACGGGAGGCAGUAGUAGGGAAUCUUCGGCAAUGGACGAAAGUCUGACCGAGCAACGCCGCGUGAGUGAAGAAGGUUUUCGGAUCGUAAAACUCUGUUGGUAGAGAAGCGGUAUCUAACCAGAAAGCCACGGCUAACUACGUGCCAGCAGCCGCGGUAAUUC